GAUGAACGCUAGCGGCAGGCUUAACACAUGCAAGUUGAACGGUAACAGGGAUAGCAAUAUCUGCUGACGAGUGGCGCACGGGUGAGUAACACGUUUGCAACUUACCUUUGACUGGGGCAUAGCCCGGAGAAAUUCGGAUUAAUACCCCAUAAUAUUUAUAGGAGGCAUCUUUUAUAAAUUAAAGCUUCGGCGGUCAAAGAUGGGCAUGCGUACCAUUAGCUUGUUGGUGAGGUAAAGGCUCACCAAGGCAACGAUGGUUAGGGGGUCUGAGAGGAUGAUCCCCCACACUGGUACUGAGACACGGACCAGACUCCUACGGGUGGCAG
rnacentral:rRNA from 1 species